GGAUUAGGUGAGCUGUGAUUGACAGCUGGUAUCGCCUAUCAGAGAGUGGCAGUCCCCUUUUAAGCGGUGAUUGGCUGCUGCUCUGAAUGCGUCAUGUCCGACUUCCCCCCCCUGGGGGUUUGCAACGUUAGCGGCAGUGUGUUGUCUGUCGUGCUGGUGCCCUUGUCCUGUCCGUGGUGUACGUGAUGGUGUACCCUCAAUUGGCUUAGGGUUUUCCUGCUGUUGGUUAACCUGUGCCUCAAAACAGUAAAUUGUCUGGGGUGAUGCCACUUUUCGGAGCUGGGGUCCCACGGGUGAUGGAGCUUUUCCGGUGGUGGUGCUUCCUCCUCAGGGCGUGCUGUGUAACACUUGACGUGUGUGGUUGUGUAGUCUGAGUGCACAGUGGGGUGUGUGUGUGUGCCUUUUGUAAACACUGAGUCGUGAUAAAGUAGUUUCUCCUGUUGGGAACCUCAGCCCUGCUGGUUUGUAUGUUUUGUUUUGUUUCUAUUAAUUUCUCAUUUUGAGAUUUGAUUGUGGUGAUUGUGCAUUUUGAAGUGGAGUGACUGACGUAUGUUGGGAGUGCUCAUUUUAAAGGAUUUUGUCUAAAUAAAAUGUAUUUUUGUACUAUACCCAUGUCUCUUGCUCACUCUAUUUAAAGAGGAACGAACUUGUGUGCCUUUCCACCCUUUUUGGGUGUAAGGAAUAUUUCCCUGGGUGUAAGUCCCGGGGUGGCGUAGUCGGAAUUUUA